rnacentral:rRNA from 1 species
CGUAGGUACCGAGCGUUAUCCGGAUUUACUGGGCGUAAAGCGCGUUCAGGCGGUUUGGCAAGUCGGGCAUGAAAUCUCUCGGCUCAACCGGGAGAGGUUGUCCGAUACUGCCAGACUUGAGGGCAGUAGAGGGUGGUGGAAUUCCGGGUGUAGUGGUGAAAUGCGUAGAUAUCCGGAGGAACACCAGUGGCGAAAGCGGCCACCUGGACUGCACCUGACGCUGACACGCGAAAGCUAGGGGAGCGAACGGGAUUAGAAACCCCGGUAGUCCUAGCUAUAAACGAUGUUGACUAGGUGUCGACGGUCUAAACCCCGCCGGUGCCGGAGCAAACGCAUUAAGUCAACCGCCUGGGGACUACGGCCGCAAGGUUA